rnacentral:tRNA from 1 species
GCCCACUUAGCUCAGUUUGUAAGAGCUCCAGAAUUGAAAGUUGAGGUUCCAGGUUUGAUUCCUGGAGUGCACA